AGCCUAUUGUACCCGUGCUGAGAUUUCGUCACACACCAGACCACAAGGGCUCAUGAGACUUCUAAGACAUGUGAAGCG
rnacentral:pre_miRNA from 1 species